UUUGUGUUUAUUCUAUUGUGAAUUUAGAUAUCAUAAUACUAAUUUCAAAUAAUAUCCAUCUAAUCCAGUUAUCUACCCAUAUGUAUAUCCUACAAUUUCUAAACUAAUUAUUUUAUAAUGUAAUAAAAUGGGCAUUUUUUAGAAGAAUCAAACCCAUAUUGUAGAAUGAGAACUAGGAUAUUACACUAGACAACUAGCUUAAGCAUAAUUAUCCAUCACAAACAAAAAAUGAUUUUUUAAAAAAGCAGUAAACUUGGAGUUCCCAUUGAGGCACAGAGGAAAUGAAUCCAACUAGGAACCGUGAGGUUGCAGGUUCGAUCCCUGGCCUCACUGCUCAGUGGGUUAAGGAUCCUGCAUUGCCAUGAGCUGUGGUGUAGUUUGCAGACGCAGCUCGGAUGUGGCAUUGCUGUGGCUGUGGUGUAGGAUGGCAGCUACAGCUCCAAUUAGACCCCUGGCCCAGGAACCUCCAUAUGCCAGGGGUACAGCCCUAAAAGGACCAAAAAAAAAAAAAAGGCAGUAAACUUGUAAACUUUCCAUUAGUUCCUCCUGAGUGCAUGAGUACAUGAUAGAAAGUUGGAGACCCUCAGAUAGACGCAACCAACAGAAUUAAUUAUCUGUGUCCUGAUCUAGUUGGAAUUUCUUUUCUCAUAUUACCAUGUUCUGUCCCCUUUGGGUCUUCAUUUGAGAAAAAGGGAGAUUAAAUUCUGCCCCAUUUGCUCUAAAGAAUGUCUUCUUCAUUAGAGUUUGGGACAAAGACGGAUCGCCUACAGCUCAAAAACAGAAAAUGCCUGAAGUUUUGUAAACCUAUUCUCCUUAGACAUAGGAUCUGCUCAUUUUCUAGAAAUGACAUAAUAAAACAGCACCAACUGAGUGACUUAAACAGCAGAAAUUAAUUUCUUACAGGUUUGGUGGCUGGAUGUCUAAGAUCAAAGUGCUGGUGGGGUUGGUUUCUGGAGAGACUUUCUUCCUGGCUUCUUAACAGUCACCUUCUCCCAGUGUCCUUGUGUGGCCUUUUCACUCCUGGUAUCUCUUUUGUUCUUAUAAGGACACCAAUCCUAUUGGAUUAGGAUCCACACUUACAUCUUCUUUUAACCUUAAUUACCGUCUUAAAGACUCUAUCUCCAAAUUCAGUUGCAUGGGGGUUAAGGCUUCAACAUUUGAAUUGAGGGGGAGAGGAACACUAUUCUGUCCAUUACCCAGGAGCUCAGAUUUUACUGCUUAUGUUACAUCCUACAAUAUGUGGGCUAUGCUAUAGUUGACAUAUAUUGCUCAAAGAGACACAAGGUGGGGUUCUAUAAUUCCAGUUACAACGUAGAAGUGGUAUUUCUGGUUUUCAGUGGGAAAUGGAGAAUUCCAUAUUGAGACAUAAAAUCAGUGAAAUAAAUAACAUAAUUCUAGAUUGAGCCAUAAUGCACUGAAAUAAAUAGAUGGGCAUGUGACAAAUGAAAGACUGUAUGCAACGUAUUUAGCAAAACUGAAUUACAGUUGAAAAAUCACUCCCAAAUCCAAAGCCAAGUGUUUCCCUGUGAUAAUUACAAUUGAAAAUGGCUUAAAAGAUUGGGCCUGUGUUAGCACAUUAGUGUAUUCAGAAAAUCAACCAUCAGCAAACAUUCCAUCCAGGAAUUUUAUCUUUAGUUCUUUCUGACGUUAUAAAGGUCCCCUCCUCCUUCCUUUUUUAUUAAUGAAUUAGGGGCUUUCCACCUGCGAGGCAGCUUUGAAGUCACAUUUCCUUCUAGAAGUCCAGACUUCCUUCAGAGAUUUCUUCCUAAAUCCUCUUAGAGAAUAUGGUGCUCAGAGCUUUUGUUCUAUAUAAUCACUCCCUGAUGGGAUGAGGGAACUUGGGACCAAGUAACCUAGUGCUUGAAACCCCUCCUAUUGCUGUCAGACUUUAGCAGGUGCUGCAGGACUCGGGGAGGAAGAGCCCCCCCAGCUCUGAGAAGGAGGAGUUCUCAUCAGCAUAGCCUUAUUUGAAAGCAUCUCAACAAAUCUUAACAGGCAUGCGUGCACACACGCACACGUGUAUGUGUGUGUGUGUGUGACACACACAGGCAAGGGUUAUUACAUAUAUCCUUCUUAAUAUAUACAUAUCUAUAUUUUUCCCCUUUGAAUUCCAUUUACCAUCUUGUAGGGCUCUUAUAGAAAAACAAACAUCAGCAAAUUGUUCUUACUAUCUCUGAGCUUGUUUAAAUAUUGAAUACCCCUUUUAUUUUACCAUCUAAAAUCAGAAUCAAUUUGGUAUUUCCAAUCCAUCUGAGCACUUCCCACAAAGGUCUUACAUGUUAUCCUUUUGGUUUAUGAACUUUUAAGAUCUCUAGACAAUUCCAGAGCCUUUGAGUUAUGUUUUUCAUUAUGACUUUGGCUGCUGCCAAAAGAAAGACUGAAUCAUUAAA
rnacentral:lncRNA from 1 species